ACAGAAUAUCAGCCAUAGUGUCCUUGUCCUUUGCUUUGAAGAGUGUAGUUAUUAGAAAUGAGGGAAUGCGUACUAAGUAACAUAACCUGCCUUGCUGUUCGCAGAUAUUCUUUUGAAUACCCAGUCUAUACAGGGAACUGGAUCUCAAGAGGCGAAACAGUCCCAGAAAAUACGAAGUAUUUAUUCAACAAGAUAACAAGGUCUACAACAAGAGAAUAAGGGUCUGGUGAUUGGAAUCCUUGUAUUUGGUUUCAUAAAGAUUGGCUGUUUGCUGGUACUCAGAAGUAUAGGGAACACCUAGAAAAGCUUUGAUGAACCAAUGAACCAAGCAAGUGUCCCUGCACAUAAAGUUAUGAUGGAUCGCAAAGCUUGGAGUGAUGUGCCAUAGCCAUUCACGACAUGGGAUGAACCGCUUACUCAGGAAGUGCUGCCGCUACAGCUGUGGGUCUGCUCUGGCCAAGAGGGUGGAAAGAAGAGGUUACUCACUAAUUCCCUUGGCCUUGCUUGGCUUGAGGAAGGCAGUGUGUCUCUCUGAAGCCUGCUGGUGCAGGCAUUACAUGUCGUGCAUUGAGAGGUCACUGGUACAACAGAAAGCAAAGAUUUCUGUGUAAAGUAAACCGCACAGUGACCUCUUCUCCCAUGGCACAGAGCAAAGGUACAGAAGUUCCUUUCAGUUCUUCCUGUUUCAACCGUUUUUGCAUUUCAGGGGGAAAAAUCAAGGGCAGCCUGUAUUUCUGCUUCAUUAGGAGAGGAAAUGGAAGAAGCUUUUUGGUUGCUCUGUCUGACCAGUUGCAGUGUCUCUAGAGUGGUAUUUGGCAGAGUUAAAACAGGACAAAGACAUAUUUCUGUUCCUUUUACACACAAAAGUAUGGCAAACCUUCUUUGUCCUCAUACCUGUGCCAAAGCUCUUGAACAACCAGAAAGGGUCAAACUGAAUGUGACUGUGUAUACAGAUAGACUUUUCAAGGGAUUUCAGGAACCUUAAUGUAUAAAUCUGAGAGAAAAGCAGAAUGCAGACAAACAAAAAUUGCAUUUGAAUGCCUUUUUUUUUCUAUAAUAGCUUCCAGUGAAUGCAGCUAUGCAAAUGCAGCCCAGAUAUAAUUUACAGUAGUGCCCAAAAGUGGCCAUAUUCCUUUAUUUUUCCUUUUUAUUUCUUCAUGGCUUCCACCCCAAACUUUCUGAAUAACCUAGAUGCAGGCUAAGUAGCCGUUUGCCUGGGGCAGUGACAGCUUUAGUACCUACAUUUCCUUUGAAAAGCUUUGCUGAGAAAAGCAAGCAGAAAUUCAGGGCAGUAGUCACUGAGCAGCAGCUGCUAAUUCCCCUGCCUCCCCCUGUACAGUCCCAACAGGAUAAACAAAUUAGGUCUAUAAGCCCUGUCUUCAGCUUCCCCUCCUCUUCCCUCCAAACAUUAUUGAUCUAUUCAACCUAAUAUCAGCUAUUUAACCCAAUUCUCUCCCCAGAUUUCUUAUAGCAAGGAACAACCUUAACAUAACACUCUUGGAGUGCGUAAUUUGAUUGUUCUUAUGCUUUUGAGAAGUACACAGCCAACCCAAAAUCCAGGUAAACAGCUUUCUUGAAGACCUUUAGAAUCCUAGAAAGGAAAAGGAAAAAAAAAAAAAAAGGUUUUUCUUUUUCAUUUAAAUUUCACACUAUUGACAUUCUGAUGUCUGUUGGCCUUUUGUUCUGCAGUCAGCCCUAUCAUUUCAUUCUCCAAGGCUGCACUCUAGAAAAUAUCACAAACUGUAAUAUUAGUUUAAAAAUACUGUUAAUACUGCUUGCUAAUCAGUCCCAAAUCUGUUAGUGUGUAUUUGUGACCAUAUAUUUGUACAAUAUAAGGCACUUGUGAAGAUUGAUUUUGUCUGUAUUACUCUAUACUGCUGCAUUCUUUAUGGUGUAUUACAUUUUUUAAGACUUUUAUCCAUAAACAUUCAUAUAAUACACUGUCAUUUCCAAAUAUCUUGAUUUUACAUUUCCCUUUGUUCUUCUUUGCAUGUACAAAAAAUAAAACUGCAGAAGUAAAAUAAAAGACCAGAGAAUAUGCUGAUGAAGAAA